rnacentral:rRNA from 1 species
GCAGUCUAUGUCAUACUUCCAAGAAAAGCUUGCACUGUCAUAAACAAAUAAUGCCUGUACCAUAACCGACACAGGUGGGUAGGUAGAGUAUACUAAGGGGCGCGAGAUAACUCUCUCUAAGGAACUCGGCAAAAUGACUCCGUAACUUCGGGAGAAGGAGUGCCUUAUUUAUAAGGUUGCAAUAACAAGAUCCAAGCAACUGUUUACCAAAAACACAGGUCUCCGCUAAGUCGUAAGACGAUGUAUGGGGGCUGACGCCUGCCCAGUGCCAGAAGGUUAAAGAAGUUGGUUAGCAUCCGCGAAGCUGAUAACUGAAGCCCUGGUGAACGGCGGCCGUAACAAUAACGGUCCUAAGGUAGCGAAAUUCCUUGUCGGGUAAGUUCCGACCCGCACGAAAGGCGUAAUGAUUUGGAUACUGUCUCGGAGAGGGGCUCGGUGAAAUAGACUUGUCUGUGAAGAUGCGGACUACCUGCACCAGGACAGAAAGACCCUAUGAAGCUUUACUGUAACCUGAAAUUGAAAUUGGACUUUACUUGCGCAGUAUAGGUGGGACGCGUUGAGAAUAUUCUUGCGGGAUUAUUGGAGCCAUCAGUGAGAUACCACUCUUGUAAUGUUAGAUUUCUAACUUUGUAUCAUUAUCUGGUCAAAGAACAGUUUCAGGCGGCAGUUUGACUGGGGCGGUCGCCUCCUAAACGGUAACGGAGGCGCACAAAGGUUUCCUCUGAACGGGUAGAAAUCGUAUCUAGAGUGUAAAGGCAUAAGGAAGCUUGACUGUGAGACCUACAAGUCGAGCAGGGACGAAAGUCGGUCUUAGUGAUCUGACGGUGCUGAGUGGAAAGGCCGUCACUCAACGGAUAAAAGUUACUCUAAGGAUAACAGGCUGAUCUCCCCCAAGAGUUCACAUCGACGGGGAGGUUUGGCACCUCGAUGUCGGCUCAUCGCAUCCUGGGGCGGUAGUACGUCCCAAGGGUUGGGCUGUUCGCCCAUGAAAGCGGUACGCGAGCUGGGUUCAGAACGUCGUGAGACAGUUCGGUCCAUAUCCGGUGUAGGCGUUAGAAUAUUGAGAGGAGCCUUCUUUAGUACGAGAGGACCGAGAAGGACAUACCUCUGGUGUACCAGUUAUCGUGCCAACGGUAAACGCUGGGUAGCUAUGUGUGGAGUGGAUAACCGCUGAAAGCAUCUAAGUGGGAAGCCCACCUCAAGAUAAGUAUUCUCAUU